ACGGAGGGAGCUAGCGUUGUUCGGAAUUACUGGGCGUAAAGCGCACGUAGGCGGCUUUGUAAGUUAGAGGUGAAAGCCCGGGGCUCAACCCCGGAAUUGCCUUUAAGACUGCAUCGCUUGAAUCCAGGAGAGGUGAGUGGAAUUCCGAGUGUAGAGGUGAAAUUCGUAGAUAUUCGGAAGAACACCAAUGGCGAAGGCGACUGACUGGACAUGUAUUGACGCUGAGGUACGAAAGCGUGGGGAGCAAACGGGA
rnacentral:rRNA from 1 species